AUGUCAUGAGUCCGCAGGUGCUGCUUUUCCGCUUUGCCGGCCAAGUAAAUGGAAGACACGGCAAUCAGGGGCCCUAGAGCCAGGUGUCUGCUGGCCUCUCCUGCUUUUCUCUCUCCUCCCUUGCUGGAAAGAGUGCAGAGAGUAGACUUGAACCCUGUCAUUUUGCUGCUGGAUGGUCAGAGGAGUCCCUUUACAGGAAAAGUUUGCCAACCCCUGAUAGGAGCUCAUGGAUGAAAAGUACUGUAGAACAAUGCCUGACACAGAGACAGAUCUCAAAGCAAGGCUUGUUGGACAAAUAAAUGAAGAUGAGCCCAAGAGCCCAGGAGAGGGACCGGGAACAGCAGGGCCUCCGUGACUCACACAAGCUUCAUCCCUGAACCAAGGACGCAGCCUGCCAACAAUGGCCCCAAGCCACACCCCGCCACAGGGGGAACUGAUGCUGCGGUGAGAAGUGACAGCUUUCUGUUGACUCUUUUUUUUUUCAAGCAGAAUAUGAAUUGAGACAUACUUUCAUUUUCAUAAUCAGAACCUAACACUUAGUAACCAAUUCAGAAUCAUAGCUGAAGAUGCAGAAAUUGUUCAUCCCAAUUUUGCCUUUGAGAGACUGUUUCUCAUCCAUCAUCAGAUUAGCCAAAAUCCAAAAACUUGACAGCACCCUCUGGGACAAGGGAAACCUGACUAUGGACUGGAUAUUAGGUGAAGAAAGCCACCACUAAGAAAACGAAAAGAGAAGCAGCAGACCAGGAGAAAAUAUUUGCAAAACCAAAUCUGAUAACGGACUUGUAUCCAGUAUUUGCAAAGAACUUCUAAACUUAAUAACAACAACGACGACAAAGGAGCAAAAUCCCUGGUGGUCUAGCAGUGAGGAUUAAAAA
rnacentral:lncRNA from 10 species